CGACUGCGCAGAGAGAUGCUCUCUGAAGGAUGAGUCCCGGAUUUCUUCCGGCAGCUUUCCAGCCUCACCGGAGACAGCAGGUGUUUUGUUUCUCGAUUGAGAAGAUGACCUGCAGGGAUGCUCCCCCUUCUCUCCCCAGGUAACUGAUUGAGAAGGUGACCUGCAGGGAUGCUCCCCCCUCCCAGGGAAAAAAGAGGAAACCCCAAUUCACCUAAAAUCUGACUGCCAGGAAUAAGGCUACAAUCUCCUGCUUUUGUAUAUUCCCUUCUUGAAGAAAAACAGGAUCUGAAGAAUACUGUGCUGGAAAGGAAAAAAAAAAGAUUUGUGUUUCCAAUUCAGAAAAUACAGCCUGAAUAUAACAACAGAGUCUUCACGUGAUCUGGGAUGUAAUAGUUAAUUUCUGUGAUUAAUAUAUUUUUUCCUUUAAUGAAA